rnacentral:tRNA from 1 species
GGGGCUGUAGUAUAGCUAGGUAGAAUUGGCCCUUGGGGUGGGUCCGGCCGGGGUUCAAAUCCUCGCAGCCCCA